CAAAACACAGUCUCAGUUCAGAUUGUAGGCUGAAACUCGCCUGUAUGAAGUCGGAAUUGCUAGUAAUCGCGGAUCAGCAUGCCGCGGUGAAUACGUUCCCGGGCCUUGUACACACCGCCCGUCACACCAUGAGAGUCGAUAACACCCGAAGCCUGUAGUCUAACAGCAAUGAGGACGCAGUCGAAGGUGGGAUUGAUAAUUAGGGUGAAGUCGUAACAAGGUAGC
rnacentral:rRNA from 1 species